rfam:Cephalotus follicularis DNA, scaffold: scaffold1138, isolate: St1.
ACGGCAUGAUGGGGGCAUUUUCUUAUGAGGUCCUUUAAUAUUUCCCAUGCCUCAUGAAACUAUUCACUAUCAUGCUGUGAGAAGCUAGUGAGAGUUCGCCAUAUUUUU